rnacentral:misc_RNA from 1 species
AAAGUGCGAAAAGUGUCAUGACUUGCAGAUUCCCGAGAGCUGACAAAUCUCUGAAUGCAAAUGGCAGUCGCGUUAGACCCGACUAUGUAUUGUAGAGUGUAGAUGCUCCAGCUAUUCAUCAUCCUUCUUUCCUCUCUCUCAUCUCUUCUCUGGAAGUGUUGAUGAAGGAAAAGAAGGUAUGGAUCUGCGCUUGCGAUGGAUCUAGCUAUCGAUCGCGAGUGUUAAAAGCAAAGGUCUACAUAUAUUCAACCUCGAGAGGGGAAGCAUAUGUGUGCACCGAUGAUCUAGGAUUAUAAUAAUAAUUCGAACUAAUCGGAUGCUUUGUAUCUAAGACCGAACACAUACACAAAUCUAUAUGAGCCACCUCUACAAUGCAUGAAAACCCGCUGAACUUAA